CCACCAAACGUUAGUUUGGUUGGCUGUAAUAUCAUUACAUCCUGAUUCCAUUCAGGCCCUAUUACACCCAUCGGCUGUAAUAGCCAUUCAUUCCCUUCAGGAUUUCAUUCGCCGUUUCUUUCCUAUUUUCCAUUUUCUGCCCUCAGCUUCAUCUUCUCCUACGUUUUCUUCUUUUCCAAAUUGCAGAGAUUGAAUGCAAAGCAACCGAUGGGAGAAGAAAACAAGAAGAUUAGGAAAGAAGAGGCAAUUGCAAAGCUUAAGGACGAUGGUGACUUCGACAAGCUCCGUCUCAAAAUCAUCCGCAAGCUCAAGGACAACCUGUGAAGCAGUCGGCAGCACUUAACCGUCUUGGCUCUGAAAACAUGAAAGUAAGGCAACUAUCAGAUGCCAUACAUGAUGAGGUUGGGAACAAAGUGAUGGGACAGAUUUCAGAUAGUCUCUGGGAAAUAAUAAGAUCGGAAGGUAGCACAAGAACUGAAAUUACAGAAACAGUUGUUUCCCACAGAAAUAAUAAUGAGAGUAAACUUGCAAGUUGUUUCCCACAGCCAUCGUGAUGUAAAUGUUGCACUAUAAAUGGAUCAGUCGUGAACCACUGAGACGGUAUACCUCUUUCUCUGCUCUAAUGGCCUUUUCUUUCUGUUUUCAAUCGGGGAGGGAGCCUUUUAUCUGCUAAUUGUAAUAACCCGGUUCUAUAUUCCUUUUUGAUAAUUUUUUCUAUGCUAGCAUUCUUAAGAAUCAGCAAGGGGUUACUAAUAUUGUAAGAGUCUGUUUUACAAAAAUAACCAUUCUUAUUGUCAUUUGCUGGUUUUCACUAGUUCCUAAUCUCUGUUGAUUUAUUUGAUUGUUACUAAUAACUGGUUUAUUGGAGCUUUUGAAAAUGCACAAGGUAGGGAUAUGAAAAUUGAAACUGUAUGUGCCUCUUAUUUGAACGACUUUCUAAACUUUGUAUCAACUCUGUAUCUCCCCUUUUUUGGAGAAAUUUACCUUAAUUCCAGCAGCAAACAGGCUGGUUUUCUAAUGUUUCUAUUUCAUGUAAAUGCACUUUGUAGGACUUCUUUGGCACAUGAAAUGACCAUAUUAAUUCUUUUCAUGGA